AUGGGAUAUGAUUUUUAAUAAAUUUGAUUUAAGAAUAUUUUAAAAUUUUGAUAUUACAUUAUUAGUAAUCUGAUUAUCAUACCAAAUAUGUGACUCAAAAUUUUAGUAAUUUAUUGCAACAUUAUCUGUGUGUACCAAAUACAGUAAUUAAUAUUACUUGCAACCUAUUCAGAUUAUACAUAAUCCAGAUUAUCAAAUAAUCCAGAUUAAGAUUGUCUGACAAUGCAUCAAAUGCAAUCUAACCAUAUGUAUUAU
rnacentral:lncRNA from 1 species